AACGAACGCUGGCGGCAUGCCUAACACAUGCAAGUCGAACGAGCCCUUCGGGUCUAGUGGCGCACGGGUGCGUAACGCGUGGGAACCUGCCCUUAGGUUCGGAAUAACUCCCCGAAAGGGGUGCUAAUACCGGAUAAUGUCUUCGGACCAAAGAUUUAUCGCCUUUGGAUGGGCCCGCGUUGGAUUAGCUAGUUGGUAGGGUAAAAGCCUACCAAGGCGACGAUCCAUAGCUGGUCUGAGAGGAUGAUCAGCCACACUGGGACGGAGACACAGCCCAGAAUCCUACGGGAGGCAGGAGUGGGUAAUAUUGGACAAUGGGCGAAAGCCUGAUCCAGCAAUGCCGGGUGAGUGAUGAAGGCCGUAGGGUUGUAAAGCUCUUUUACCCGGGAUGAUAAUGACAGUACCGGGAGAAUAAGCACCGGCUAACUCCGUG
rnacentral:rRNA from 1 species